ensembl:lncRNA
AUGAGGGCCACAUGCACGUUUCUGAUGAGGGCCACAUGCACGUUUCUGAUGAGGGCCACAUGCACGUUUCUGAUGAGGGCCACAUGCACGUUUCUGAUGAGGGCCACAUGCACGUUUCUGAUGAGGGCCACAUGCACGUUUCUGAUGAGGGCCACAUGCACGUUUCUGAUGAGGGCCACAUGCACGUUUCUGAUGAGGGCCACAUGCACGUUUCUGAUGAGGGCCACAUGCACGUUUCUGAUGAGGGCCACAUGCACGUUUCUGAUGAGGGCCACAUGCACGUUUCUGAUGAGGGCCACGUGCACGUUUCUGAUGAGGGCCACGUGCACGUUUCUGAUGAGGGCCACGUGCACGUUUCUGAUGAGGGCCACGUGCACGUUUCUGAUGAGGGCCACGUGCACGUUUCUGAUGAGGGCCACGUGCACGUUUCUGAUGAGGGCCACGUGCACGUUUCUGAUGAGGGCCACGUGCACGUUUCUGAUGAGGGCCACGUGCACGUUUCUGAUGAGGGCCACGUGCACGUUUCUGAUGAGGGCCACGUGCACGUUUCUGAUGAGGGCCACGUGCACGUUUCUGAUGAGGGCCACGUGCACGUUUCUGAUGAGGGCCACGUGCACGUUUCUGAUGAGGGCCACGUGCACGUUUCUGAUGAGGGCCACGUGCACGUUUCUGAUGAGGGCCACGUGCACGUUUCUGAUGAGGGCCACGUGCACGUUUCUGAUGAGGGCCACGUGCACGUUUCUGAUGAGGGCCACGUGCACGUUUCUGAUGAGGGCCACGUGCACGUUUCUGAUGAGGGCCACGUGCACGUUUCUGAUGAGGGCCACGUGCACGUUUCUGAUGAGGGCCACGUGCACGUUUCUGAUGAGGGCCACGUGCACGUUUCUGAUGAGGGCCACGUGCACGUUUCUGAUGAGGGCCACGUGCACGUUUCUGAUGAGGGCCACGUGCACGUUUCUGAUGAGGGCCACGUGCACGUUUCUGAUGAGGGCCACGUGCACGUUUCUGAUGAGGGCCACGUGCACGUUUCUGAUGAGGGCCACGUGCACGUUUCUGAUGAGGGCCACGUGCACGUUUCUGAUGAGGGUCACGUGCACGUUUCUGAUGAGGGUCACGUGCACAUUUCUGAUGAGGGCCACGUGCACGUUUAUGAUGAGGGUCACGUCCCCGUUUCUGAUGAGGGUCACGUGCACGUUUCUGAUGAGGGCCACGUGCCCGUUUCUGAUGAGGGUCACGUGCACGUUUCUGAUGAGGGCCACGUGCACAUUUCUGAUUAGGGUCACGUGCACGUUUCUGAUGAGGGUCACGUGCGCAUUUCUGAUGAGGGCCACGUCCCCGUUUCUGAGGGCCACAUGCACGUUUUUGAUGAGGGUCACAUGCACGUUUCUGAUGAGGGCCACGUGCACGUUUCUGAUGAGGGCCAUGUGCCCGUUUCUGAUGAGGGUCACGUGCACGUUUCUGAUGAGGGCCACAUGCACGUUUCUGAUGAGGGCCACGUGCCCGUUUCCGAUGAGGGUCACGUGCACGUUUCUGAUUAGGGCCACAUGCACAUUUCUGGUUAGGGCCACGUGCACGUUUCUGAUGAGGGUCAAGUGCCCAUUUCUGAUUAGGGUCACGUGCACGUUUCUGAUUAGGGCCAUGUGCACGUUUCUGAUUAGAGUUACGUGCACAUUUCUGAUUAGGGCCACAUGCACGUUUCUGAUUAGGGCUCCAUGCACGUUUCUGAUUAGGGUCACGUGCACGUUUCUGAUGAGGGCCACAUGCACGUUUCUGAUGAGGGCCCAUGCACAUUUCUGA